GUGCGCCAUCCGUACACGCCGGUUCCUGUGCGUCGUCCACACACACAUCUGACGACUGCUCACAACGUUGGGUGAGCC
rnacentral:sRNA from 1 species